UCCAGGCGCAGCACUGAGCAGCAUCGAGAGCCCGCGUCCCCACAGCGAGGGCCUGAGCCCACAGGGCCCGGACAGCGCGUGUCCGCGCACAGACCCACGUCUAGGAUCGCACCGUGCCCGCCUCGUUCCAGGCCUUGCAGUGGUACUCCCCUGCCUGCGCCUGGUGAAGCCCCUGGAGCUCUAGGUGUGGCCCAGACCCCUGCUGGCGUCGGUCCAGGAGAGUCCCGUUGUGGAACCUGAAGAAGGCAGGGGAACAUUGACUACCACAUUUCACGGGAUAUAAAACUGAGGAUCUGAGAGGC
rnacentral:lncRNA from 1 species